ACUAUUAUUGCUGUUUAUCAACAUGAGGACCAAAGUUGUGCUAAUGAAAGUCAAAGAAGCCAUUAUGAGACUGUGAAACAAGCAUAAAAUGGUUAGAGGCAUCAGCCAAACCUUGGGCUUACCAAAAUCAACUGUUUGGAACAUAGUUAGGAAGAAAGAGAGCACUGGUGUGCUUACUCAUUUCAAAGGGACUAGCAGGUCAAGGAAAACUUGCACUCCUGAUGACAGGAAUUAUCCCCAUAAUAAAGAAAAAUUCCCAAACACCUGUCUGACAGAUUGUGUGGAUUUGUCAAUUACCACUUUCUGCAGAAGAUUUCAUGAACAGAAACACAGAGGCUACACUGCAAGAUGCAAACCACUGGUUAGCCACAAAAACAGGAUGGCCAAGACGUACUUAAAAGAGCAACCACAGUUCUGGAAAAGGCCUUGUGGACAGAUGAAUGAAGAUUACUAAUGCCAGAGUGAUGGCAAAGAGAAGGAACUGCCCAAGAGCAUAUCAACUCUGUUGAAACGGUGGUGGGGAAGUUAUGGUCUGGUUGCCAGAUCGCCUGCUACAAGUACAGCAAGGUAACAUCAAGGAAGACCUCCCCUACUUUUUUCCAGACCAAUAGUUUGCACCAAAUUUCAUCAACAAAUUUUUUGAUCGACUCAGCUCUUUUGAACUCUGACAUUUCAUCUGGCUCAGCAUAUUUGUGAGAUUCAUUCCAUUUGAGGUUCUGAGAACAACCCGAAAACCAGCAGACACUGCGGCCCUCCAGGACUGGAGUUUGACACCUGUGGUUUAUAGAAUG